GGGGUUGUGGCUCAGUGGUAGAGCGCUCACCUAGCAUGUGCACAGCGCUGAGUUCAAUCCUCAGCACCACA
rnacentral:tRNA from 1 species